rnacentral:rRNA from 1 species
AUUGAACGCUGGCGGCAUGCCUUACACAUGCAAGUCGAACGGCAGCACGGGUGCUUGCACCUGGUGGCGAGUGGCGAACGGGUGAGUAAUACAUCGGAACGUACCUUAUCGUGGGGGAUAACGCCGCGAAAGCUGUGCUAAUACCGCAUACGCCCUGAGGGGGAAAGCGGGGGAUCGCAAGACCUCGCGCGAUUAGAGCGGCCGAUGCCUGAUUAGCUAGUUGGUGGGGUAAAAGCCCACCAAGGCGACGAUCAGUAGCUGGUCUGAGAGGACGAUCAGCCAGACUGGUACGGAGACACGGCCCAGACUCCUACGGGAGGCAGCAGUGGGGAAUUUUGGACAAUGGGGGCAACCCUGAUCCAGCAAUGCCGCGUGAGUGAAGAAGGCCUUCGGGUUGUAAAGCUCUUUUGUCAGGGAAGAAACACCGGCUCUAACACAGUCCGGGAAUGACGGUACCUGAAGAAUAAGCACCGGCUAACUACGUGCCAGCCGCCGCCGUAA